rnacentral:rRNA from 1 species
UACAGAGGGUGCAAGCGUUAAUCGGAAUUACUGGGCGUAAAGGGUGCGUAGGUGGUUGAAUAAGUUAGGUGUGAAAGUCCUGGGCUUAACCUGGGGAUUGCGCCUAAUACUGUUUAGCUAGAGUACUGUAGAGGAAGGUGGAAUUUCCAGUGUAGCGGUGAAAUGCGUAGAUAUCGGGAGGAACACCUGUGGCGAAAGCGGCUCACUGGACCACAACUGACGCUGAGGCGCGAAAGCUAGGGGAGCAAACAGG